GAUGAACGCUGGCGGCGUGCCUAAUACAUGCAAGUCGAGCGAACAGAUAAGGAGCUUGCUCCUUUGACGUUAGCGGCGGACGGGGGAGUAACACGUGGAUAACCUACCUAUAAGACUGGGAUAACUUCGGGAAACCGGAGCUAAUACCGGAUAACAUAUUGAACCGCAUGGUUCAAUAGUGAAAGGCGGCUUUGCUGUCACUUAUAGAUGGAUCCGCGCCGUAUUAGCUAGUUGGUAAGGUAACGGCUUACCAAGGCAACGAUACGUAGCCGACCUGAGAGGGUGAUCGGCCACACUGGAACUGAGACACGGUCCAGACUCCUACGGGAGGCAGCAGUAGGGAAUCUUCCGCAAUGGGCGAAAGCCUGACGGAGCAACGCCGCGUGAGUGAUGAAGGUCUUCGGAUCGUAAAACUCUGUUAUCAGGGAAGAACAAAUGUGUAAGUAACUGUGCACAUCUUGACGGUACCUGAUCAGAAAGCCACGGCUAACUACGUGCCAGCAGCCGCGGUAAUACGUAGGUGGCAAGCGUUAUCCGGAAUUAUUGGGCGUAAAAGCGCGCGUAGGCGGUUUUUUAAGUCUGAUGUGAAAGCCCACGGCUCAACCGUGGAGGGUCAUUGGAAACUGGAAAACUUGAGUGCAGAAGAGGAAAGUGGAAUUCCAUGUGUAGCGGUGAAAUGCGCAGAGAUAUGGAGGAACACCAGUGGCGAAGGCGACUUUCUGGUCUGUAACUGACGCUGAUGUGCGAAAGCGUGGGGAUCAAACAGGAUUAGAUACCCUGGUAGUCCACGCCGUAAACGAUGAGUGCUAAGUGUUAGGGGGUUUCCGCCCCUUAGUGCUGCAGCUAACGCAUUAAGCACUCCGCCUGGGGAGUACGACCGCAAGGUUGAAACUCAAAGGAAUUGACGGGGACCCGCACAAGCGGUGGAGCAUGUGGUUUAAUUCGAAGCAACGCGAAGAACCUUACCAAAUCUUGACAUCCUUUGACCGCUCUAGAGAUAGAGUCUUCCCCUUCGGGGGACAAAGUGACAGGUGGUGCAUGGUUGUCGUCAGCUCGUGUCGUGAGAUGUUGGGUUAAGUCCCGCAACGAGCGCAACCCUUAAGCUUAGUUGCCAUCAUUAAGUUGGGCACUCUAAGUUGACUGCCGGUGACAAACCGGAGGAAGGUGGGGAUGACGUCAAAUCAUCAUGCCCCUUAUGAUUUGGGCUACACACGUGCUACAAUGGACAAUACAAAGGGCAGCUAAACCGCGAGGUCAAGCAAAUCCCAUAAAGUUGUUCUCAGUUCGGAUUGUAGUCUGCAACUCGACUGCAUGAAGCUGGAAUCGCUAGUAAUCGUAGAUCAGCAUGCUACGGUGAAUACGUUCCCGGGUCU
rnacentral:rRNA from 1 species